rnacentral:lncRNA from 1 species
AUGCCUCUUGCAAAGGAUGUCCUUCAUCCCUCUCCAGAAGAGGAGAAGAGGAAACACAAGAAAAAGCGCCUGGUGCAGAGCCCCAAUUCCUACUUUAUGGAUGUGAAAUGCCCAGGAUGCUAUAAAAUCAGCACGGUUUUUAGCCAUGCACAAAUGGGAGUCUUGUGUGUUGGCUGCUCCACUGUCCUCUGUCAGCCUACGGGUGGGAAAGCAAGGCUGACAGAGGGGUGCUUCUUCAGGAGUACUCAGCACUGA